rnacentral:rRNA from 1 species
UGGGGAAUAUUGCACAAUGGGCGCAAGCCUGAUGCAGCCAUGCCGCGUGUAUGAAGAAGGCCUUCGGGUUGUAAAGUACUUUCAGCGGGGAGGAAGGGAGUAAAGUUAAUACCUUUGCUCAUUGACGUUACCCGCAGAAGAAGCACCGGCUAACUCCGUGCCAGCAGCCGCGGUAAUACGGAGGGUGCAAGCGUUAAUCGGAAUUACUGGGCGUAAAGCGCACGCAGGCGGUUCGUUAAGUCAGAUGUGAAAUCCCCGGGCUCAACCUGGGAACUGCAUCUGAUACUGGCAAGCUUGAGUCUCGUAGAGGGGGGUAGAAUUCCAGGUGUAGCGGUGAAAUGCGUAGAGAUCUGGAGGAAUACCGGUGGCGAAGGCGGCCCCCUGGACGAAGACUGACGCUCAGGUGCGAAAGCGUGGGGAGCAAACAGG